CCACUCUUGCUCCUCCUCCUCUUCCUCCUCCUCCUCCUCCUCCACCAGCACCACCACCACUACCAACUUCAUAUCAGAAAAAUGACAGCUUAUGUUGCUAUGCAAUCUCUUAUGAAUACAAUUAACAAUAUUCUCCAUUGCUCUCACUAUAGCCUUGUUGGUCGCUCUCAACAAAUUAUAGAUGGCGUGUACGAGGAGUUGCUGCCUUGGUACGAAAUUCUGGCAAGAUUGGACUACACGAGCGCAAGCCGGAGCAGGAAGGAGGUGAAUGCUUUGGAUGGAAGAAUCAAAGAGGUUAUCUGGAAAUUCGAAGACUCAUUGGAAUCCCUUCUCAUCCAACAGAUUCCUUCUCAACUCCAAACUCUUCCGGAGAUAUUCUCCAUUAAUCUGCAGACUCUUCAAAAUGAAGUUCAUUCAUUUAGCCAGAAGCUCAAGGAUAUGGAGAAGGCCUACAUUUAUGAAGUGGAGAAUAUGCCUCAAGAUGAACCUAUUUCAUCAUCAAUUGGUUUCCAUGGAACCAAUUCUAAGAUGAUUGGGUUAUCCGACCAAUUUCAGAAACUCAAAAGCAAUCUUGUGGAAGAUCGCGCCCGGUUUCGUUUCCACCGGCUAAUUGGAAUGGCAGGCGUAGGGAAGACAAACCUUGCUAUGCAAAUUUAUCAAGAUCCACAAAUUUGUAGCAAGUUUGAGUGUCGCGCCUGGGUCACCGUCGGCCGAGUACCUCAGACGACCAGUCAAAUUUUGCAAGGCAUUCUUGCUCAACUGUGUGGAAUUGGAAUCACUCAAGGAGACGAAGAAACAGAUUACAGUUUGAGAGCAAGAUUGCGUGGAAAGAAUUGCCUAAUUGUGCUGGAUGAUGUCUGGGAGGCAGAUGCAUUGAGUAGAAUGCAUUUCUUCGAAGACAUCCCACAUGGAUGUAUUCAUGUCUUGCUUACCAGCCGACAUAGAAAACUGAAGAAUGAUAAUCUUUAUAGUGAUUUUGGGGAUGAGGUGCGGUUUUUGAACGAAGAAGAAAGCAUGGAACUACUAUGUGAUAAGGUGUUUGGCGAUGAGAUUUGCCCUCCUCAACUUCACAAAGCUGCUGAAAAAAUCGCCAAGCAUUGUGAAGGUCUCCCUCUCUUGAUCAUCACGGUUGCUGGCAUCAUUUCAUUAUCUGAGCAGAAGAAAGACCCGGUCUACUGGAAUGACGUGGCAGAAAGGAGAAAUUCAGUCUUCAGGGAUGCCUAUAAUGAAAUAUCAAAGGUACUUUUCCCAAGCUACGACUACUUACCUCAUGAUCUUAAAAUGAUUUUUCUAUAUGUGGGAGUUUUCCCUCGAGAUUACAACACUCCCUCUUCCAAAAUCAUCAUUAUGCUCAUGGCUGAUGGGUUGCUUUCCUGGUAUGAAUUGUGGGGUGUAUAUAUCUGAAAGAACUAGCUUACAACUACAACCUUGUUUUACGCAUCUUGAAGAGCGUUGACAAAACUUAUCAUGAGUUUCAAGUUACUGAGUUUAAAGCUUGCUGGCUUCAUUCUUCAUGGCGGCAUGUGUGUAGGGAAGAAGCUAGUAAGAACAAGUUUUAUCAUGUUUUAAAUAAGUUAACUGAUGCCGAAGAAGAAGUUCUAAAAGGUCAGCGCGGCUUAUGUCUGGAAAAUAACAUGUUAUUUGGCAUCAAAGACUUUCGCCACUCGGUGAGAUUGAACUGUGCAUCCUUUGCGCGUUCUCUCCUUUUCUAUGGUCCUUACCACCAAUAUCCAAUUCCUAUAGAUGUCGGUUUCAUGUUGCUAAGAGAAAUAGAUGCCCUUACACAACGUUUCUACACUUUCCCAAUAGAAAUUCUGACAUUAGUCCAACUAAAGUACCUUGCUCUAACUUGCAAUGGAGAAGUCCCUUCAACCAUAUCUAAACUUUCCCAAUAGAAAUUCUGACAUUAGUCCAACUAAAGUACCUUGCUCUAACUUGCAAUGGAGAAGUCCCUUCAACCAUAUCUAAACUUUUCAACCUUCGAGUCUUGAUUGUCCAUCCGCAUAUGAAAAUUAGACAUCGUGGAGCUUCAUCAUAUGUACCGAUGGAAAUAUGGGACAUGAAAGAGUUAGAGCAUAUGGAGAUAUUGGGAAAAAGCCUUGUAGCUCCAUCUAAUGUUAUUUCAUUAGAAAACCUCACAACUCUGGUCAUGUUUUCCCAGGGACUCUAAGUUCAUUGAAGUUGCCAUGUAACUUGAAAAAGUUACAUUUGAGUGGUAUGGGUUUUCCAUGGAAAUACAUGGAUGAUAUUGCUGCUUUGCCAAAUCUUAAAGCUCUCAAAUUGCGAUCCUACGCCUUUCAAGGUUCACAUUGGAAUGUAGAAAAUCAUCAUUUUCUAAGUCUUAAGUUUCUUCUGAUUGAAGAAAGUGAUUUGGUGCAAUGGGAUUCUAGAUACAGAAGCUUCCCCCAGCUUAAAAACCUAAGCAUGAAACAUUGCUACAAACUUGAAAAUAUCCACAUGCUUUCUCUUUCUUACUACGGUAUCUUUAAGAUUGAAUUAGAGGACUGCAAUCCUUUAGCUUUUACUUGGGCCACCCAAUUACAUGUAUAUUAUGGUGAUACGCUAAGUGUUACUUCAUUUUCUUCUUUUGAUGAGAAACCGACAACUAUCAAAUUUAAAAGGUAUGGAGAUGGUCGAUUUGUGUCCACUAAUCUGGCUAUGGAGGAAGCGAAUGUUGAUGAAGAAAUCUCCAAUCGAGGAGAGGAUGACGAAGUUAUGGAUACCUUCGACUAUGAGGGUACAGAGGAAGAGAAUGAUGGUGAAUAUACGUCAGAUUAUGAAGGUACAGAGGAAGCAAAUUAUGAUGAAGAACUUGCCAAUCAAGGAGAGGACGAUGAAGUUAUGGAUACCUUCAAUUGUGAGGGUACGGAGGAAGAGAAUGAUGGUGAAUAUACGUCCGAUUAUGAUGGUACGAAUAAAGUAGAUUAUGAUGAAGAACUUGCCAAUCGAGGAGAGGAUGACGAAGGCGUGGGCGCAGAUGAGGAAAAUGAUACAGAUGUACAGAUUAUCAUGAGAAGAAUGAGGAAGAGAAUGAUGACAAAUAUACGUAUGAUCGUGAGGAUACAUAGGCGAUUGAUCGUUAAUGUCAAGGAGCAUGAAACAUCCUUGAGGCUUUGAAUUUGCUGCUACAGAGUGAUGAACGUGUUAUUCAAAUGUGGUCUAGCCGCCAUCGUCAUUUCUGCUGUUAUUGGACUGCAUUUUAGGUGGAAUUAAAGCUACCUUCUUAUGACGGGUGGGUCAAAGAGACUUUCUUCUCCGGACCAUUACUUUCAUCUUCUCCCUGUUCCUUGGCAUAGAGAUUGGCGUCCUUCUUUGAGUUGGUGUUUCUCUGGCUUUUGUCAUCCAUGAAUCAGCUAACCCACAUAUUGGUUAAUCCUAAGCUCAGCCGAUUAACUAUAAAUUGUCGUUGACGCUGAAGUAGGUCACCUUUUCCAUGUUUCCUGUGUGUCUGACCGAUAACUGAUUGGCUCUUAGUUCUACUCUCCGUAAACUUCCAAGAUCAUCAUUAUGCUCAUGGCUCAGGGGUUGCUUUCCUCGUAUAGAUCGGGAUGUAUAUAUCUAAAAGAGCUAGGUUACGACUACAGGCUUAUUUUACGUAUCUUGCAGAGCGUUGAUAAAACUAAUCAUGAGUUUGAAGUUGGUGAGUAUAAAGUUUGCUGGCUUCAUUCUGCAUGGCGGCACGUGUGUAGGGAAGAAGCUAGUAAGAAAAUGUUAUAUCA